rnacentral:lncRNA from 1 species
AUAGCUAUUUUUUUUAAAAAAAAAGGAAUGGUCUUCCACAUUGUAGAUAAAGUCUUCUCGCGCAUUCUAGGUGCGAGAAGGAUGAUGCAGUUGCUACCAGAGAUGGAGUCGGGGGGGUGAUAAAGAAGAAAGAGAUAGGCAAGAAGAAAGAAUAGUCUAAAAUAUAAUGAAGACAGACAGCUGAAAUGCAUUUAGUUGUGACCUUCACAGCUGGUUUCACGUUACCAGGUGGUUUUGAUAGCAUCGAUAGCCCUAAUAAGGGGAUGGCGAUUCUAAUUAAAAAAAAAUAAAAAAUUAGUUUUUCGUGCAUUUGUUGGUUCGAACGCCAUCGCGUUUUCCAUGGCGACAAAUGCAAUAUCCUCUGCUUUAUAUGGUCACAGCUUCUGUCGAUGACAGCAGUUGUAAUUGCAUUUGCAACGGGUAUGUAUGUUACGUUAGCACAUUCAUUUUUUUCUAUAAAUGUAAACUCACAUUUGAAUCUUUAUGUCAUAGAAUUUUCACCCACUUCAACGUUCGACUUAAAUAUUUAGGAAUUCAAUUACUAACACUUGAAAUCGCUCUCCUGCUCAUGUUCAUGAACUGCACAAGUCUUUUUCUUACAUAUUACUACUAAUAUAUAUCGCGAGUUCAGUUCAAGGAACAUAAUGGAAAAAUUUACACAAGGAAAGAGAUGCAACCGAUGAAAUAGACGGUACACUAAGUGAUUUCUUCUAAUCUGUCUAGAGUUACACGGUACAUGUGUUGGGGGUUUUGUGUGUGGGUGGGUGGGGUGGGGGGAGUAGAUAGCAAAUACCUCAUAGAAUUAGUCGAGGUGCGGACUUGAUGCUUGUGUCUCUCUACACUUCUUUUUCAGGAAGAUACAUGACCCACACGCAGUAAAGGGUGGUCAAUUGAGCAUCUUAUUAUGUAUAUAGAAAAUUACACGAAGUAUAUAUGUCAAAAAAUACUUUUUGUGUGUAUAGAAUAUUUUUUUAUCAGAUUUAUCCAGCAUACUGGCCUCAGCACUGCCCACACAUACAGAAUGAAAGAGAUGCAACCAAUGGAACAGACAGUAACAGCGAGACCAACUGAAUGUGCUAAAGUAGCAUACAUACCAGUUACAAAUGCAAUUACAACUGCUGACAUUGCCACGAGCUGCGACCUAGCUCCAACUUUACUGAGAGACCACAAAUAACCCAAAUCCUGAUAGGACAUUAGACGAGGAUUUGUCGCCAUAUAGAAGUAGCUGAAUAUAGCACCAGCGGAGCAUGCAAAGGCAAUGGCAUCCGUUAUAACAAAUGCACGAAAUGCUGAUUUUCUUAUUAGAAUUGCCAUCCCCUUAUUAGGGCUAUUGUCAUCGCUUUCAAAACCUCCCGGUAAUGUAAAACCAGCUGCAAAGGUGACUGUGACUAAUAGAGUAGCCACGAAAAGUUACAUUUGAGCUGCUGAUAAGAUACCUUUGAUGUUUAUGUCGCGUUCCUUAGCUUGGUUGAAAAUUAUCUUCUGCCGAUCCAUCUGGUUCAGCUUGGGUGAAUGUCGUCCCAAUUGAACAAUGGAAUUAAAGAAAUUGUUAAACAAGCUGGGCGCGAUUCUAUCCUUGUCAUCCGUCCACUCUGUGCAAGACACUGCCACGUCAAAUGGAGUCUUGUUUUCCUUGUUAUAUGACAUCUUCUUUGCUCGGGGAUGAUCUUUUAAUUCCAGAGGCACCUAGCCCCAGAAAUUAGAGGAAGCCAGCAAAUGCAGAGGAGUGUUGCCAUCGUUGUCCGGAUCCUCGAUAAGCUUAUCCCACUUUGUGGGCUUCAAUAAGUAACUGACCACAUUUGCUCGACUGCAGAAUAUGGCUUCAAGAAGAGCAUUUCGUCCGUUGCUGUCGAGCAUUUCACAGCAAUCAGGGCAGUGAUUUAACAGCUCAUGUAAAACGUCUACCUUACCUGCACCGGCUGCAAUGUGAAUUGCUGUUAUUCAGUCAUUUUAACUGCCUGCUGGAAGUUAGGCUAAGGAUCUUUUUCACCCCAGCAUAUCGGAAACUACUUCUUUGAAUCCUAAAAGAGCAGCAAAAUGCAGCGAAUUCCACCCCCCUACGUCAGGUUCCUCACAUAAAGAGUUAUUCCAUUGCAACAGCAAUCUCGCGCAAUCUGGAUGCAUAUGUCAAAUAUGAUGAUGAUAAGGAGUUAAAUCAACACAAAUUUAGACUCCCCAGUUUAGUCUAUAAGUGUGUCUGGGGAAGGGUAGAGUGUACGCAGACCUUACCACGAGGCUGUUUCCGAUAGACUCUCAGCUCAAGAGAAAAUAGUCCAAAAUAGAACAAUACAACAACAAAAUAAUACAAUAGUCGAAGUACAAGAAACAACAGAUAGAAACAAAAAUCAAAAAGAGAUGUUAAUACAGUGAGAGUAACGACAAAAAAAUUUGUACAUACCCGUGUGUUCCUGAAUUACUGCUGCAUGUAGAGGUGUUCGAUUUAAUGGACCUGAGGAAGAAGUUGGUUGCUUGCAGGAGUUCAAGAUUUCACUCAAAUCUUCACAAAGACCAGACUCAGUUGCCAGAUACAGUGUUGUCUCCCGGGCCUUGUUGGAUGGAAAUUCGAAUUCAGGAUCUUCUUUCACCGACAGUCUGGCUACAUCUUGAUGUCGGCUCCGCAAGGCCUUGUGCAGCGCUGUAUCUCCAUUCUCAUCUGUCGUCCUCAUGAUUGUCUCCUUAUGAUGCUCAUGUAUGCUAAGUAGCAAGUGGACUACUUCGAUGCGACCUUCAUUAGCUGCUAUGUGAAGCGCAGUCUCAUUCUUCUUGUUCCGAUGGCAUAACAUUGCCGGACUAAUC